AUGUGAGUACAACUCUGUGCGGUGGAUCACUCGGCUCGUGUGUCGAUGAAGAGCGCAGCCAACUGUGUAAAUUAAUGCGAACUGCAUACUGCUUUGAGCAUCGACAUUUCGAANNCAUCUAGA
rnacentral:rRNA from 1 species